rnacentral:rRNA from 1 species
GCAGUAGCCGCGGUAACACAGAGGGUGCGAGCGUUAAUCGGAUUUACUGGGCGUAAAGCGUGCGUAGGCGGCUUCUUAAGUCGGAUGUGAAAUCCCUGAGCUUAACUUAGGAAUUGCAUUCGAUACUGGGAAGCUAGAGUAUGGGAGAGGAUGGUAGAAUUCCAGGUGUAGCGGUGAAAUGCGUAGAGAUCUGGAGGAAUACCGAUGGCGAAGGCAGCCAUCUGGCCUAAUACUGACGCUGAGGUACGAAAGCAUGGGGAGCAAACAGGAUUAGAUACCCGUGUAGUCCCUGUCUCUUAUAA